CCCACACCGCUCGGCGGCCUCGUAGGCGGUCGGGAGUGGGAGCGGGAGGUUCCCAGCCCUCGGCUCGGCUCGCAAUGGCGACGGCGGGGCUCUGGCCUGCUUCGAGUUUCUCGAACGCCACAGGCACUCGCUGGUGUAGGAGAUGACUAGGCUGCGAGCCGAGAUCCCAUGGCUGCCUGUCACAUGUGCCUGGCCCAGGGGAACUAGGCUGCACGAAAUGCACCUGCUGGUGAUGGUCCACUGAGAAACGUGAUGAAACUGCCCAGAAGAUGCUGGAAUUGAAAUUCUGUUGUGACUUGGAAGACUAGCAGGUGGUGACUAAGAACAUCCGAAUUCCAGGGCUGGGUGUUGUGGUGCAGCUGGCUAAGUCAGUGCUUGCGACACUGCCAUCCCGUCCUGGAGGGCGCAUUCAGGUCCUGGCUGCCGCACUUCCCAGCCAGCUUCAUGCUAAUGUGCCUAAGGAGGCAGCAGGAGAUGGCACAUGUGCUUGGGCCCCUGCCACCCACAUGGGAGACUGGAUGGAGUUCCAGGUUCCUGGCUGCAGCCCAACCCAUCCCUGGCCAUUGUGUGGGUAGUGAGCCAGAAGGUGGAAGAUCUCUCUCUCUGUCAUACAACUAUCAGAGCUUCACCUUCAAUCCAGGUUACUUUGAUUGUGGCAAAGGGGUUAGAUCUAAACGAUGGAGACCAGCACUUCUAAGAUGCAGCUGCCUUGAGCUCAUGAAGGGGAAAGUGCCAAAGACGACGUCUCCUGUGGGAAGAAGCCAUGUCACUCACCACCAGAGCCUGACAAGACUGAUAACCAGCGCAUCUGUGAGAAAGCCAUCUAUGAAUGUGUGCAUUAAUAAAUGAUGAAUGAGUAAAGGAAUGAGCCACCUAGCCCAGGUGCCUGGCACACAAGAGACGCUCACUAACUGCUGCUUUCCCUCCCUCGCUGUGGAGGGCGGAGGCCACAUUUGCAGUCUCUGUGCCUGGCACUUGGUAGGUCUUGAUGGAUGUGUGCAGGUGGGAAGACUGACUUGCAGGACCGCCAGCCCUCGAGGCCUUCAGGGAACGUGUCUUCUCAGCCAUGAGCAGACACCAGAGCUCGGCGCUGCAGGCGGUGGUGCGCUGCCUUGGACAGGGCUUCCCUCUGCGGCAGGGGAAGGACCACCUGUCUUCCAAGCCGGCCCUGGCCCAGUGGUUGCGCAGACUCAGGGUCAGGCAUAGCUGCCCCCACAGUGCAGGGGAGCAACAAGCGCAUCCGCUGCAGGGCAGCCAGUCAUCGGGACGCGGCCACCAGCGAGCGGAGGAGGCGCUCUGUCAGCCUAAUGCACCGCCUGCCGCCCCCGCAUCCUGCCUGGCUUUCUCUGGCUUCUCAGCACCUCAGCUCUCAGUGCUCUGGGCCUGGUGAGCGAGUCGCUGAUGUCUGAGAGAAGAGGACCUGGUGCACAGUAACUGCUCAGUAAGUACUGGUGGAAUGGGUAAAUGGAUAAAUGAAAACAGGGCUGAAGGAAGAGACAGGCUGAUGGAUGUGUGGCUAUUUUAUUGGCACAGGGUCCUACAGGGCAAAGACCACACCCUCCCCACCCUCUUCCCUGUAAAAAUAAACUUUGUCCUUCCUUC